AUUGAACGCUGGCGGCAGGCCUAACACAUGCAAGUCGAGCGGUAGCACAGAGAGCUUGCUCUCGGGUGACGAGCGGCGGACGGGUGAGUAAUGUCUGGGAAACUGCCUGAUGGAGGGGGAUAACUACUGGAAACGGUAGCUAAUACCGCAUAACGUCGCAAGACCAAAGUGGGGGACCUUCGGGCCUCAUGCCAUCAGAUGUGCCCAGAUGGGAUUAGCUAGUAGGUGGGGUAACGGCUCACCUAGGCGACGAUCCCUAGCUGGUCUGAGAGGAUGACCAGCCACACUGGAACUGAGACACGGUCUAGACUCCUACGGGAGGCAGCAGUGGGGAAUAUUGCACAAUGGGCGCAAGCCUGAUGCAGCCAUGCCGCGUGUGUGAAGAAGGCCUUCGGGUUGUAAAGCACUUUCAGCGGGGAGGAAGGCGUUAAGGUUAAUAACCUUGGCGAUUGACGUUACCCGCAGAAGAAGCACCGGCUAACUCCGUGCCAGCAGCCGCGGUAAUACGGAGGGUGCAAGCGUUAAUCGGAAUUACUAGGCGUAAAGCGCACGCAGGCGGUCUGUCAAGUCGGAUGUGAAAUCCCCGGGCUCAACCUGGGAACUGCAUUCGAAACUGGCAGGCUAGAGUCUUGUAGAGGGGGGUAGAAUUCCAGGUGUAGCGGUGAAAUGCGUAGAGAUCUGGAGGAAUACCGGUGGCGAAGGCGGCCCCCUGGACAAAGACUGACGCUCAGGUGCGAAAGCGUGGGGAGCAAACAGGAUUAGAUACCCUGGUAGUCCACGCCGUAAACGAUGUCGAUUUGGAGGUUGUGCCCUUGAGGCGUGGCUUCCGGAGCUAACGCGUUAAAUCGACCGCCUGGGGAGUACGGCCGCAAGGUUAAAACUCAAAUGAAUUGACGGGGGCCCGCACAAGCGGUGGAGCAUGUGGUUUAAUUCGAUGCAACGCGAAGAACCUUACCUGGUCUUGACAUCCACAGAACUUUCCAGAGAUGGAUUGGUGCCUUCGGGAACUGUGAGACAGGUGCUGCAUGGCUGUCGUCAGCUCGUGUUGUGAAAUGUUGGGUUAAGUCCCGCAACGAGCGCAACCCUUAUCCUUUGUUGCCAGCGGUUAGGCCGGGAACUCAAAGGAGACUGCCAGUGAUAAACUGGAGGAAGGUGGGGAUGACGUCAAGUCAUCAUGGCCCUUACGACCAGGGCUACACACGUGCUACAAUGGCAUAUACAAAGAGAAGCGACCUCGCGAGAGCAAGCGGACCUCAUAAAGUAUGUCGUAGUCCGGAUUGGAGUCUGCAACUCGACUCCAUGAAGUCGGAAUCGCUAGUAAUCGUAGAUCAGAAUGCUACGGUGAAUACGUUCCCGGGCCUUGUACACACCGCCCGUCACACCAUGGGAGUGGGUUGCAAAAGAAGUAGGUAGCUUAACCUUCGGGAGGGCGCUUACCACUUUGUGAUUCAUGA
rnacentral:rRNA from 1 species